AUGAGAUCAUCGUGGUGGAUGAAUCUGACCCUGAGUUUGAUUCUGAAAUGUCAAACAUCUGAGUUAUAUUGAUUUUAAUGUCUGGUUAGUGGUUAGUAACUUAUUUGAAUUCAUUUUAGACUGGAUGAUAAUUUACCGGCUAGCUCAUCAGAAUCUUCUAUUAAUGAACCUUCCGGAGUCAAACCAGCUGAUUUGGUAGACGAACAAAGCUCUGGUUCAGUUUCUCCCGGUUCAAGGACAUCUCAACCACAAUUGACGGAUAAGGUCAAGUCAUCAAGCCCACAAAACAUGGAAAACUUCACCAAUUAUCGUUUUUUGAAAACUCGGGAAAAUACUCUUAAUUAAUCAACUAGAACACCUGAUCUUCCAUCCGUUUGGAGCGUUAAGGAUAUAUAUAUGAGGCUGUGAAUGGUAAUAUCCCGACAGCCUCAGCGCUGGCUGCUAGAAGAGUUCUGAUGGGGGACAACCACUGCAGAAUUUGACCUGUUGACGUUUUCGCUCAAGAGGUGUGGCGUACAGUGUUUGGCUGGGUGGAAGUUUCUACACCAAUUAUUUUUGACUCGCUUACACAAAUGAUUUCCCAUUGUUGCAAUCUUGGUAUGAGAAAACAAAUAGAGGAACUGACAUUAGCAGCCAUUGGCAUCGACAAGAUGGUGAGAUUAUAGCAGUCCAACCAUGAAGGAGUUUGGCAUGAACCUGACAUUAGCAGCCAUUGGGAUCGACAAAAUGGUGAGAUUAUAGCAGUCCAACCAUGAAGGAGUUUGGCAUGAACCUGCAACAUAAGCAUCUCCAUGUUUAAUCGAAUGUCAAUGUACAAAAUGCAAACAUAUGUAUACAUCAUUAGUAGCCUUAAGCACUUAAAGCUACAUACAAGUACUGUAAGUAUCACUUUUUGUGUUAUCAGAUGCAACUUUGAAUGCUAUUAUUGAUUUUUUCUA